rnacentral:rRNA from 1 species
CGCCCAGACUCCUACGGGAGGCAGCAGUGGGGAAUCUUGCACAAUGGGCGAAAGCCUGAUGCAGCGACGCCGCGUGGGCGAAGAAGGCCUUUGGGCCGUAAAGCCCUGUCGGGAGGGAAGAAGGAAGCGACGGUACCUCCCAAGGAAGCCCCGGCUAACUACGUGCCAGCAGCCGCGGUAACACGUAGGGGGCGAGCGUUAUCCGGAAUCAUUGGGCGUAAAGGGUGCGUAGGCGGCCUUUUAAGCGCGGGGUCUAAGGCGGUGGCCCAACCACCGUUCGCCCCGCGAACUGGAGGGCUAGAGUGUCGGAGAGGGAAGCGGAAUUCCUAGUGUAGCGGUGAAAUGCGUAGAUAUCAGGAGGAACACCGGCGGCGAAGGCGGCCUGCUGGACCGCGACUGACGUUGAGGCUCGAAAGCGUGGGGAGCGAACAGGAUUAGAUACCCGGGUAAAG